AGUCCAAAGAACAAGAUAUCUUCCUAAUUAAUUUGGAGUCACAGAGGAACAAAUAAAUAAAAACAUUCUCUGCUCUCUCUUACCCAACAGAGAAUAGAUACCCAGCAUCUCAAAAGAGAUCACUAAAUGGUCAGAACAUAAAAUAGAUUCCCAAAUAUUACUGCCACCCAUGAGGAAUAAUCUGUGGCCAUGUACAAACUCUAGUCGGAUAUACAGAGGAUGUUCUCUGGCUACUCAAGCACGCUGACUUAGUGGUCCACUUCACACCAGCCACAGGACCCAUUUAUGGAAAGGGACAGAAUCCAAACCAUGAAGGGACCAACAGACUCGACCACAGUAAAAACAUGGGAUCAGAAGAAAAAAGAGAGAGGAGGAACAAGACAGUUGAAAGUUUCGUUCUAUUUCCAGUUUGGACUCAUUGGGGAGCCAAGGAGAGACAUGCCCGGGGUCAAACCCCGUGAAGUUUUCAGUUCAUUCUGACAGGAAUUCCUCUGACUGCUGAAUGCCUACUAUGUGCUGCGCACCCUGCCAGGGACUAAGGUGCUGCAAUACACAGACUCCACCGAGUCCAGGGGACACACGAAGGAGGGGCAUCAGGCCUCCUAGAAGACCAGAAAGGUCAGUGGCAUCACCCUGGUGCUGGGAGAACAAUGGAUCAAAGGCAAGAAGGUACCAAACAGCCAGUUAGGUUACGUGUAGCAACCACCGAUUAUGGCCUUUAGUUAAACACUGUUCUGAUUUGUUAUGUAGCUGUUUCAUGUAAUAUCAACAUUUUAGCAACAUCAUAUGCUUGGAAUAGGGAAAUGCUGGGAAGUAUAGGAGAUUGUCUUACACUUCGUUGCAAAAACUAAGAGGCAGUGCAUAGCGAUGGGAUUCAUAAAACUCAGGAAAAUUGACAUUGGGAACCCCAGUUUCAAAUACCAGCUGUACCAUUUGCUGGCUGUGAGAUCUUGGGUGAGUUAAUUAACCUCCAUGAGUCUUUUGUGCAAAAGGGUCACAAAUCCACCCAUCACAAGAACCAUGAGGUACAAAUGAAGAAUAGUGUUUACUUGGAAACUCACAGGCAGAAAGAGAGUGCAAAGAUUCCCUGUUCUUCUGCCUUCCUGUGGGGAGGGGCUGCGUUGGGCGGGGCUGGCUGCUGCUGUGGUCUGGAUAUAGUUUGAACCCACCAAAGCUCAUGUGGAAAUUUGGCCCUCAGUGUGGCAGUGCUGGCGGUGGGCCUGGUGGGAGGUGUGCGGGCUGUGGGUGCAGGUCCCUUGUGAGUGGUUUGGGGCUGCUCUCCAGGUAGUGACCGGAGGCCCCUCAGGUUUCCCCCUCUUCACACAUGUCCACACGUCCACUUCCCCUCAAGCCUCUCCACCAUUGCAGCGUGAAAGCCCUCACCAGAAGACAGGGCCGUGCCCUUGACCUUCUCAGUCUGCAGAACCUGAGCUAAAUAAAUCUCUUCUCUUUAUAAAUUA